UAGAAAGGUUACUUCGGUACAUCGGUGACAGGUGGUGCAUGGUUGUCGUCAGCUCGUGUCGUGAGAUGUUGGGUUAAGUCCCGCAACGAGCGCAACCCCUAUUGUUAGUUGCCAUCAUUCAGUUGGGCACUCUAGCGAGACUGCCGGUAAUAAACCGGAGGAAGGUGGGAUGACGUCAAAUCAUCAUGCCCCUUAUGACCUGGGCUACACACGUGCUACAAUGGUUGGUACAACGAGUUGCGAGUCGGUGACGGCGAGCUAAUCUCUUAAAGCCAAAUCUCAGUUCGGAUUGUAGGCUGCAACUCGCCUACAUGAAGUCGGAAUCGCUAGUAAUCGCGGAUCAGCACGCCGCGGUGAAUACGUUCCCGAGCCUU
rnacentral:rRNA from 1 species